CAGUUGUUUCCCUGUGGUCAGUCACAGGUUAAGGCGCUAUAUACGGUAGGUGUCCAGUUGUUUCCCUGUGGUCAGUCACAGGUUAAGGCGCUAUAUACGGUAGGUGUCCAGUUUUU